rnacentral:rRNA from 1 species
AAAGGUCGCUUUUGGCUCAAGACGAACGCUGGCGGCGUGCCUAACACAUGCUCGUCAAACGGAGUAAUUUGGCGGACGUUUUCGGAUGGAAGCUGAUUUACUUAGAGGCGGACGGGUGAGUAAGGCAUGAGUACCCUGCCUCUCACAGGGGGAUAACGGCUUGAAAAGGAGGCUAAUACGGCAUAACCUCUCGUGACCGCGUGGGUGGGAGAUCCAAGGACCCCUCCGCUGAGAGAUGGACUCGCGGCCGAUUAUCCAGAUGGCGGGGUAACGGCCCACCGAAGCAACGAUCGGUAGCCGGACUGAGAGGUUGAACGGCCACAUUGGGACUGAGACACGGCCCACACUCCUACGGGAGGCAGCGGUGGGGGAGAUUGCACAGUGGGGGGAACCCUGAUGCAGCAACGCCGCGUGAAGGAUGAAGGUGUUCGGAUUGUAAACUUUUGUCAUAUGCGAAGAAGAAAGUGACGGUACCAUAGGAGGAAGCUCCGGCUAAAUACGUGCCAGCAGCCGCGGUAAUACGUAGGGAGCAAGCGUUGUCCGGAUUUACUGGGUGUAAAGGGUGCGUAGGCGGAAGAGCAAGUCAGUAGUGAAAUCUGGGGGCUUAACCCCCAAACUGCUAUUGAAACUGUUCUUCUUGAGUGGAGUAGAGGUAGGCGGAAUUCCCGGUGUAGCGGUGAAAUGCGUAGAGAUCGGGAGGAACACCAGUGGCGAAGGCGGCUUACUGGGCUGUAACUGACGCUGAGGCUCGAAAGUGUGGGUAGCAAACAGGAUUAGAUACCCUGGUAGUCCACACCGUAAACGAUGAUUAAUAGGUGUGGGGGGUGUGACCCCCUCCGCGCCCGAGUUAACACAAUAAGUAAUCCACCUGGGGAGUACGGCCGCAAGGUGGAAACUCAAAAGAAUUGACGGGGGCCUGCGCAAGCAGUGGAGUAUUGUGGUUUAAUUAGAAGCAACGAGAAGAACCUUAUCAUGUCUCGACAUUCAUCUAACGAAGCAGAGAUGCAUCAGGUGCCCUUCUUGGAAAGUUGAGACAGGUGGUGCAUGGUGGUCGUCAUCUCGUGUCGUGAGAUGUUGGGUUAAGUCCCGCAACGAGCGCAACCCUUGUGAUUAGUUGGUACGCACGAGCACUCUAAUCAGAUUACCGUCGACAAAACGGAGGAAGGCGGGGGGGACGUCAAAUCAUCAUGCCCCUUAUGAGGUGGGCCACACACGUAGUACAAUGGCCGUCAACAGAGAGAAGCAAGACCGCGAGGUGGAGCAAAACUCUAUAAACGGUCCCAGUUUGGAUUGCAGGCUGCAUCCUGCGUGCAAGAAGUUGGAAUU